rnacentral:rRNA from 1 species
UACGGAGGGGGCAAGCGUUGUUCGGAUUUACUGGGCGUAAAGGGCACGUAGGCGGCGAUUUAAGUCAGAGGUGAAAGCCCGGGGCUCAACCCCGGAACUGCCUUUGAGACUGGAUUGCUAGAAUCUUGGAGAGGCGAGUGGAAUUCCGAGUGUAGAGGUGAAAUUCGUAGAUAUUCGGAAGAACACCAGUGGCGAAGGCGGCUCGCUGGACAAGUAUUGACGCUGAGGUGCGAAAGCGUGGGGAGCAAACAGG